GCUGGUCUCGAACUCCUGGGCUUAAGCAGUCCUUCUGCACUGGCCUCCUAAAGUGCCGGGAUUACAGGCGUGAGUCACCACAGCCAGUCAAUACUUGUUUUUUUGUUUGUUUGCUUGCUUUUUUGUUUUUUUUUUUUCUUUUUUUGAGAUGGAGUCUCGCUCUGUCACCCAGGCUGGAGUGCAAUGGCACGAUCUCGGCUCACUGCAACCUCUGCCUCCCGGGUUCAAGUGAUUCUCUUUCCUCAGCCUCCUGAGUAACUGGGAUUACAGGUGCCCACCACCACACCCGGCUAAUUUUUAUAUUUUUAGUAGAGAUGGGUUUUCGCCAUGUUGGUCAGACUUGUCUAGAACUUCUGACCUUAGGUGAGCCGCUCACCUAAGUCACCUAAGUGCUAGGAUUACAGGCAUGAGCCACUGCACCCAGCCUCUGACAGUUUUCUAAGUGGCAUCUUUUCCUUUCUGAAUAGUUUGCUUAGGCUGAAUUGGACAGAUUCUUUUAAAAAUGAGUUAAUAGGCCGGGCGUGGUGGCUCACGCCUGUAAUCCCAGCACUUUGGGAGGCCAAGGUGGGCAGAUCACCUGAGGUCAGUUUAGGACCAGCCUGGACAACAUGGUGAAACCCUGUCUCUACAAAAAUACAAAAAUUAGCCAGGCAUGAUGGCAGCUGCCUAUAAUCCCAGGUACUCAGGAGGCUGUGGCUAGAGAAUCUCUUGAAUCCGGGAGGCGGAGGUUGCAGUGAGCCACGAUUGCGCCGCUGCACUCCAGCUGGGGUGACAGAGCAAGACUCCAUCUC
rnacentral:lncRNA from 1 species